rnacentral:rRNA from 1 species
AACGAACGCUGGCGGCAGGCUUAACACAUGCAAGUCGAACGCAUCCUUCGGGGUGAGUGGCAGACGGGUGAGUAACGCGUGGGAACGUGCCCUUCAGUUCGGGAUAACCCAGGGAAACUUGGGCUAAUACCGGAUACGUGCGAGAGCAGAAAGAUUUAUCGCUGAAGGAUCGGCCCGCGUCUGAUUAGCUAGUUGGUGGGGUAAUGGCCCACCAAGGCGACGAUCAGUAGCUGGUCUGAGAGGAUGAGCAGCCACAUUGGGACUGAGACCCGGCCCAAAGUCCUACGGGAGGCAGCAGUGGUGAAUAUUGGACAAUGGGCGCAAGCCUGAUCCAGCCAUGCCGCGUGAGUGAUGAAGGCCUUAGGGUUGUAAAGCUCUUUCGUCCGGGACGAUAAUGACGGUACCGGAAGAAGAAGCCCCGGCUAACUUCGUGCCAGCAGCCGCAGUAA